ensembl:lncRNA
CGCAGGCCAGGGCGCAGGUUAAUUUUGAGGUUUGGUUUAAAUUAUAUUCUAAAAUAUAUACUACAUGUCAAUAUGUAUGCAUGAUAAUUAAGUAAUGGUGAUCUCGAUUCAGACAUACGCAAACUUUUUUCUAAAUGACAAUGAUUCCUCUGUCUAGUAAACCUUCAAAAUUAUGAUCACUGGUACCAAGCUCAAAAUGAAGCCAUGCAAAUUCUUGGUACCAGUGAGCCUGAAAUUUUAGAGUUCUGUCCCGAGUCACCUGACAUACAAUAGUCUUUGGAUCUGACUGGUGGAAGAGCGCAUCCGAAGAGCGCACCAUUAACGGAUAAGGUAGAUAGAAAAUGUGCAUAGCGGUGGCUCUUCAGGACCAGGAUUGAAAAUCACUUUCUGUUUAUCUGUUUAUCUAAAGAAAGUCAUUAAUCAGGUACAGUGUGAGGGUGAGUAAAUGAUGAAAACAUUUUGGGUGGAUCAGCUGAUUGACUUCUGACUGACGUUCUCCAAUUAGCUUUAAAACACUCUUGUCACUGUAUAAAUUUCAGAUCAUUGUUGUGGUGUAUAGAUUUUUUUUUUUCUCUUUCAAAAAAUUUUUUUUUUCAACUUCAUUUUCCAUCAGGAGUUUCACUGUCAUUAUAGAUGAGUUGGUCAAAUAAUGCCUUCAUUCACAAACUCUAUGGAGUCACUGUAUAGUUGUGAUUUUGUGUGUAUGCAUCAUAACAAGCUGCAUUUUGUUUUACUUUUCAGACAAGCCCUGUGGAACAACGUAGAGAAGUUGUAAUUCUAUGCUUAAUUGUCUGCCUCUCUGAAAAUCCUGAGAAUCUCAUCAAGCACCAUCAGGAUACUCAUGGGAAUAAGGAGGAACUGGAACUGCUCACACUUAAAAUCAUCAAGAAAGGUGGCUCAACAGAUGAUCCAUUACAGACUGGGAUAGUGCUGGAAGGCAUAGAGGUGAUGACGAGAUUGGCAGGUGUUGCGAAGGCUUGUGUUUUUCUGCUUGGCCUAAUUUAAGCAAUUAAUCUGAGUUACCCCAAAGAGCUCAAUGAACAAUGUUUGUCUGCAACUGUUUGAUUACAUUCUUGUGUUAUUCUUAGGAUGUUUUUUUGCGUGUUCCAAAAGUAAAUGUCAGAAAAAUUGUUGCAAAGGGUGAAAAAAAAGUGACCUAUUUUACACCUAUUGUGUCUUACAAACAAAACAAAAAGAAAGAAAGAAAAUGCUUUUUUUUUUCUAGUUUUAUUAGGAAUUCUGUACAAAAUUAAAUGCUGGAAUAAUGUAAAUCCUUUGAGAAGUGUUGCAAAGGGUUAAAAAUCAAGGAAUUAACUUGUUAGAAGUGAACUUCCAUUUGUAUAUUUGUCACAUUGUGUUGUACAUUCAUGAUGUGUUGUUUUAGGCUUCACCAUUGCUUUGCAGCCUGUCAAAAAAAAUAAAUAAACUGAAAUGCUUUAUUUUGUGUAAUUU